AAAACCUGAUAAAUACAGGGGUGAAAGUAGGGGGGUAUGGCAGGGUACUGCAUACUCCUAAAAGAUUUAGCGGGGGUACGCAGUACCUGCAAGAGAGGGGAGCGGCUGUCUGCUGUAAAAAGUC